CGUAGAGGGUGCCAGCCCCGUACCUGGACGUGAGCCGUCUUCCGAUCGUGUUGUCCCAAGUAGCGCGGGCCUCGUGGAAUCCCGCGUGAAUCAGCCCAGACCGUUGGGUAAGUCUAAGCAUACCUGUCUGACCGAUAGCGUACCAGUACCGUGAGGGAAAGGUGAAAAGCACCCCGGGAGGGGAGUGAAACAGUUCCUGAAACCGUGCGCCCACAAACCGUCGGAGCCUCUGUGUGGGGUGACGGCGUGCCUAUCGAAAAAUGAGUCUGCGAGUCAGUGGCGGGUGGCGAGCAUAAGCCGUGUGGCGUAUGCGUAGCGAAAGCGAGUCUUAAAAGGCGUUUGUAGUCGCUUGUCCUGGACCCGAAGCGGGAUGAUCUAGCCCUGGGCAGGUUGAAGCGCGGGUAAGACCGCGUGGAGGACCGAACCCACCUGGGUUGAAAACCGGGGGGAUGACCUGGGGCUAGGGGUGAAAGGCCAAUCAAAUUCCGUGAUAGCUGGUUCUCUCCGAAAUGCAUUUAGGUGCAGCGUCGGUCGAUUGCGUCGCGGGGGUAGAGCUACCGGAUGCUUGCGGGCCCUUGUUGGGUACCAACAGCAGCCGAACUCCGAAUACCGUUGACGUGUAUUCCGGCAGUGAGUCGGCGGGGGAUAAGCUCCGUCGUCGAGAGGGAGACAGCCCAGACCGUCGUCUAAGGUCCCGAAGCGUGUGCUAAGUGGGAAAGGAUGUGGAGUCGCAUAGACAGCCAGGAGGUUGGCUCAGAAGCAGCCAUCCUUGAAAGAGUGCGUAACAGCUCACUGGUCUAGUGGUUCCGCGCCGACAAUGUAGCGGGGCUCAAGCACACCACCGAAGACGCGGCAGCAAUCUUCAUGGUUGCUGGGUAGGAGAGCGUCCUGCGAGGGGCGAAGCGGCCGGGUAACCGUGCCGUGGACUUCGUGGGAGUGAGAAUGCAGACAUGAGUAGCGAGAGACGGGUGAGGAUCCCGUCCGCUGGAUGACCAAGGGUUCCGGGGCCACGUUCGUCGUCCCCGGGUGAGUCGGGUCCUAAGGCGAGGCCGACAGGCGUAGUCGAAUGGAUGAACGGGUGGAUAUUCCCGUACCGACCAUGGACCGGCAAAACCGAGACGGUGAGUACUAACCUCCGCCUCGUGGUGGUUCCUUCCUUCGGGUUGGUGUCGCCGCGUGGUGUUGGGACCGUAGCCGCAGUAGGUCAGCGCAGGGGUGACACGGAAUGGGAGCCGGCCGCGGAGGUGGUUUUCCGUGGUCAAGCACGCAGCCAGUCAUGUAGGCAAAUCCGCAUGGCGCGCAUGGCGAGGUGUGAUGAUGGGAGCCGUUACGGCUCGAUAUCCGGUUGUCCAGGCCGUCGAGAAAAGCCUCGGCGUGAGGGCCAUGGCCGCCCGUACCCCAAACCGACACUGGUGGUCAGGUAGAGAAUACCAAGGCGAUCGAGCGAAUCCUGGUCAAGGAACUCGGCAAAUCACUCCCGUGCCUUCGGUAUAAGGGAGACCCACUGGGGUGAAGGACCUUGCGUCCGGAGCUUUGGUGGGUGGCACAGACCAGGGGGUAGCGACUGUUUACCAAAAACACAGGUGCAUGCGAAGGCGAAAGCCGCUGUAUAUGCACUGACGCCUGCCCGGUGCCGGAAGGUUAAGAGGAUCCGUCAGUCCUUCGGGAUGAAGCGGUGAAUUCAAGCCCCGGUAAACGGCGGUGGUAACUAUAACCAUCCUAAGGUAGCGAAAUUCCUUGUCGGGUAAGUUCCGACCUGCACGAAUGGCGUAACGACUUCCCCACUGUCUCGACCAGGAGCUCGGCGAAAUUGCAGUACGAGUAAAGAUGCUCGUUAAGCGCAGAAGGACGAAAAGACCCCGGGACCUUUACUAUACCUUGGUAUUGGCGUUAGGCGCGGAUUGUGUAGCAUAGGCGGGAGGCUUCGAAGCGGGUGCGCCAGCAUUCGUGGAGCCGCAAGGUGAAAUACCGCUCUGUUCUCGUUUGACGUCUAACCUCGACAAGUCAUCCUUGUCAGGGACAGUGCCUGGCGGGUAGUUCAACUGGGGCGGUUGCCUCCCAAAGAGUAACGGAGGCGCUCAAAGGUCCGCUCAGCCCGGUUGGCAAUCGGGUGUCGAGUGUAAUCGCACAAGCGGGCUUGACUGCGAGGACGACGGUCCGAGCAGGGACGAAAGUCGGAGAUAGUGAUCCGGUGCCGGCGCACGGGCGCGGCAUCGCUCAACGGAUAAAAGGUACCCCGGGGAUAACAGGCUGAUCAUUCCCAAGAGUCCAUAUCGACGGGAUGGUUUGGCACCUCGAUGUCGGCUCGUCGCAUCCUGGGGCUGGAGAAGGUCCCAAGGGUUGGGCUGUUCGCC
rnacentral:rRNA from 1 species